CGGCAAUGGGGGAAACCCUGACCGAGCGACGCCGCGUGUGGGAUGAAGGCCCUUGGGUUGUAAACCACUGUCAGAGGGGAUGAAAUGCCGGAAAGUUAUCUCUCCGGUUUGACAUAGCCUCAGAGGAAGCACGGGCUAAGUUCGUGCCAGCAGCCGCGGUAAGACGAACUGUGCAAACGUUAUUCGGAAUCACUGGGCUUGAAGAGUGCGUAGGCGGUUUCGUAAGUAGGGUGUGAAAGCCCCCGGCUCAACCGGGGAAUUGCGUCCUAAACUGCGAGGCUGGAGUGAGGUAGGGGUGUGUGGAACUUCCAGUGGAGCGGUGAAAUGUGUUGAUAUUGGAAGGAACGCCGGUGGCGAAAGCGACACACUGGACCUUGUCUGACGCUGAGGCACGAAAGCCAGGGGAGCAAACGGGAUUAGAUACCCCGGUAGU
rnacentral:rRNA from 1 species